rnacentral:rRNA from 1 species
GGAGGGUGCGAGCGUUAAUCGGAAUGACUGGGCGUAAAGGGCAUGUAGGCGGAUAAUUAAGUUAGGUGUGAAAGCCCUGGGCUCAACCUAGGAAUUGCACUUAAAACUGGUUAACUAGAGUAUUGUAGAGGAAGGUAGAAUUCCACGUGUAGCGGUGAAAUGCGUAGAGAUGUGGAGGAAUACCGGUGGCGAAGGCGGCCUUCUGGACAGAUACUGACGCUGAGAUGCGAAAGCGUGGGGAGCAAACAGGAUUAGAUACCCUGGUAGUCCACGCUGUAAACGAUGUCGAUUUGGAGUUUGUUGCCUAGAGUGAUGGGCUCCGAAGCUAACGCGAUAAAUCGACCGCCUGGGGAGUACGGCCGCAAGGUUA